rnacentral:rRNA from 1 species
AUUGAACGCUGGCGGCAUGCUUUACACAUGCAAGUCGAACGGCAGCGCGGGCUUCGGCCUGGCGGCGAGUGGCGAACGGGUGAGUAAUGCAUCGGAACGUGCCCAGUAGUGGGGGAUAGCCCGGCGAAAGCCGGAUUAAUACCGCAUACGACCUGAGGGUGAAAGCGGGGGACCGAAAGGCCUCGCGCUAUUGGAGCGGCCGAUGUCGGAUUAGCUAGUUGGUGGGGUAAAGGCUUACCAAGGCGACGAUCCGUAGCUGGUCUGAGAGGACGACCAGCCACACUGGGAGUGAGACACGGCCCAGACUCCUACGGGAGGCAGCAGUGGGGAAUUUUGGACAAGGGGGGCAACCCUGAUCCAGCCAUGCCGCGUGCGGGAAGAAGGCCUUCGGGUUGUAAACCGCUUUUGUUCGGGAAGAAAUCCUCUGGGCUAAUACCCCGGGGGGAUGACGGUACCGGAAGAAUAAGCACCGGCUAACUACGUG